AAGUCGUAACAAGGUCUCCGUUGGUGAACCAGCGGAGGGAUCAUUAAAGAGUUGCAAAACUUUUAACAACGGAUCUCUUGGUUCUG
rnacentral:misc_RNA from 1 species